GAGAACAGCAGGAGCUCUGCCUUUGCAUUAUAGUAGGAAAAGAGUGUACAACUCAUACAACGCUGGGCCUAAGCCCCAAGUCUAGAAAAUUGUCAUAUACACACAGGCGUACAGCCUACAAACCAGAAGAAAAGAGAGCUACGGGAGCCCUACAUCACUCGCCAAGAGCAGCCAUCCCUCUCAUGGCCUCAUUGAAACACCUGGUUUCCUCUCUGAUAAGCCUCGUCAGCGCCAACGCCGUCAGCUCUUUUUGUUCAAAAACU
rnacentral:lncRNA from 1 species